rnacentral:rRNA from 1 species
AGUGAACGCUGGCGGUAGGCCUAACACAUGCCAGUCGAACGGCAGCACAGUAAGAGCUUGCUCUUACGGGUGGCGAGUGGCGGACGGGUGAGGAAUACAUCGGAAUCUACUUUUUCGUGGGGGAUAACGUAGGGAAACUUACGCUAAUACCGCAUACGACCUACGGGUGAAAGCAGGGGAUCUUCGGACCUUACGCGAUUGAAUGAGCCGAUGUCGGAUUAGCUAGUUGGCGGGGUAAAGGCCCACCAAGGCGACGAUCCGUAGCUGGUCUGAGAGGAUGAUCAGCCACACUGGAACUGAGACACGGUCCAGACUCCUACGGGAGGCAGCAGUGGGGAAUAUUGGACAAUGGGCGCAAGCCUGAUCCAGCCAUACCGCGUGGGUGAAGAAGGCCUUCGGGUUGUAAAGCCCUUUUGUUGGGAAAGAAAAGCAGCAGGUUAAUACCCCGCUGUUCUGACGGUACCCAAAGAAUAAGCACCGGCUAACUUCGUG